rnacentral:tRNA from 1 species
UCCCUGUUAGCUCAGCCUGUAAAGAAUCUGUCUGCAAUGCAGGAGACCCAGGUUUGAUCCCUGGGUUGGGAA